UACGAAGGGUGCAAACGUUGCUCGGAAUCAUUGGGCGUAAAGCGCACGUAGGCGGCCUCGCAAGUCGGAUGUGAAAUACCUAGGCUCAACCAAGGACGUGCAUCCGAAACUGCAAGGCUUGAGUACAGAAGAGGAUCGCGGAAUUCCCGGUGUAGAGGUGAAAUUCGUAGAUAUCGGGAGGAACACCAGUGGCGAAGGCGACGAUCUGGGCUGAUACUGACGCUGAGGUGCGAAAGCGUGGGGAGCAAACAGG
rnacentral:rRNA from 1 species